UAACUUGAUUAUAGCUGAUAUUGAUUACACUUGUUCUCAUUUUCUGUUGAAAGCAGUUCAGUAUGUACGCUCUCUGCGCUUGUAUAUCAGCGAGGUGUGUUCACGACUUACUUACUUACUCACCGUGGAAUGCAAAAAAAUGUGAUUGAUAUGCAAUUUUUUGACCUUUCUUUGUUGUGUUUUAGAAUUUUACCCUUAUUUCUAACAGUUUAUAGUUCUGCAUAUUCUAGGUGCAUCACUGUAUCUAUUCAAUUCCUACUUUUCAUAAUUUGACCCAACUGGUGCUCACUUCUUACUUUGAUUGGCAUUAUCACGAUUGUGGUUGGCAAUUCUUAGUAGAACUUCUCAACCACUGCCCUAAGCUUCAAAAGUUUGACGUUGAUCAGACCGACACACAGACCGACAUAGACGAAGAAACAUUUAAUAUAAUCGCGGAUAAUGUUCCGCAAUGUCUUUCAUUACACCUUCAAACAUGCAAUCUACUCAACUUAAGCCUACAAGCUAAGCUUAUGCUAGCAAGGUAUAUUUUGAAGAAUGCAAGAGUUUUACAAACCAUGACAAUCUCGAACAGAGGACAGCCUGAAAUAAAAGGUCUAUUAUCCUCAUGCCCAAGGGCCUCUGCAACGUGUAAACUUAAGUUUCAACGCAAAAGGCAAAGCCGUGGCACAUGGUGAGACCUACUGAAGGCGUAUAAAUGAGUCGGUGGAGGGCUAAACUUUGGGAAACCGGAAGAAAAAUGAUGACAUGCUUACUUUUUAUCACGGUGAAAGUUGAUUUCAUAUAGUUAUGACAUGUUAGAAGGGUAUGUUCCAGUGGUGUUUGCUACCAGUUUCAUACUAUAUUACUCGGCUGAUGUAUGGAAGGAAACCAUGGUAGGGAGAUUGUAUUCCAUCAAACCUGAGGAAUCAAAGAGUCGUGAGGAAUAUUCUGAACGUUCCUCUUUGCUUCUUCAGAUAUUGGGUGCUAAAGAUAAGGCUGAUAAUAUUAAUGAGAUUGAAAUGGCAUGUCAACCAAGUGCUGCACUUCCUAAUGAUAAUGGUGUGAGUGCAAAAAGGCGUCGAAGGCGAAAAUACAAGGCUAAUAAGAAGGCAGGGAUGGAAGCUGAGUAAGUAUCUAUUUUCCGGUAUUUCAUUUUGUCAUAUUAUCCGGUAUUUCAUUUUGUCAUAGUAUCUAUUUUGUCAUAACACCGGAUAAUAUGACAAAAUGAAAUAUAGAAAAUAGAUACUUUACUCAGCUUCCAUCCGUGCCUUCUUAUUAGCCUUGUAUUUUAGCUUUCGACGCCUUUUUGCACUCACACCAUUAUCAUUAGGAAGUGCAGCACUUGGUUGACAUGCCGUUUCAAUUUCAUCAAUAUUAUCAGCCUUAUCUUUAGCACCCAAUAGCUGAAGAAGCAAACAGGAACGUUCAAAAUAUUCCUCACGACUCUUUGAUUCCUCAGGUUUGAUGAAACCAGUGAUUGUAUUUUUGGAUAUGGUAGGCAUAUGCACUUUAUGAAGAUGCUUUGAUAAUCACUUGUAAGUAUGGAGGAGAUGAAUAACUGAGUUGUAAGCUACUAAUGUUAUAUAAAAUGCAUGAAGAGGGGAUGUGGUAGAAGUGAACUCCAGAUAGAUCAUGUAACUUUAGGUCUUUUGAAAUUGUCUUGUAUGAACAAUUUUUUUCAUGCUUGUUGGAAUUAAAGUUUUGCUGCGCUUAUUUUGAAGUUAA